rnacentral:rRNA from 1 species
CCCCAGACUCCUACGGGAGGCAGCAGUGGGGGAUAUUGCACAAUGGGGGAAACCCUGAUGCAGCGACGCCGCGUGGGUGAAGAAGUAUUUCGGUAUGUAAAGCCCUAUCAGCAGGGAAGAAAGAAGACGGUACCUGACUAAGAAGCCCCGGCUAACUACGUGCCAGCAGCCGCGGUAAUACGUAGGGGGCGAGCGUUAUCCGGAUUCACUGGGUGUAAAGGGAGCGUAGACGGCCGUGCAAGCCAGGAGUGAAAGCCCGGGGCCCAACCCCGGGACUGCUCUUGGAACUGUGCGGCUGGAGUGCGGGAGGGGCAGGCGGAAUUCCUGGUGUAGCGGUGAAAUGCGUAGAUAUCAGGAGGAACACCGGCGGCGGAGGCGGCCUGCUGGACCGCGACUGACGUUGAGGCUCGAAAGCGUGGGGAGCAAACAGGAUUAGAUACCCCAGUAUAC